rnacentral:rRNA from 1 species
UGCAAGUCGAGCGAACAGAUGAGAAGCUUGCUUCUCUGAUGUUAGCGGCGGACGGGUGAGUAACACGUGGGUAACCUACCUAUAAGACUGGGAUAACUCCGGGAAACCGGGGCUAAUACCGGAUAAUAUUUUGAACCGCAUGGUUCAAUAGUGAAAGACGGUUUCGGCUGUCACUUAUAGAUGGACCCGCGCCGUAUUAGCUAGUUGGUAAGGUAACGGCUUACCAAGGCGACGAUACGUAGCCGACCUGAGAGGGUGAUCGGCCACACUGGAACUGAGACACGGUCCAGACUCCUACGGGAGGCAGCAGUAGGGAAUCUUCCGCAAUGGGCGAAAGCCUGACGGAGCAACGCCGCGUGAGUGAUGAAGGUCUUCGGAUCGUAAAACUCUGUUGUUAGGGAAGAACAAAUUUGUUAGUAACUGAACAAGUCUUGACGGUACCUAACCAGAAAGCCACGGCUAACUACGUGCCAGCAGCCGCGGUAAUACGUAGGUGGCAAGCGUUAUCCGGAAUUAUUGGGCGUAAAGCGCGCGUAGGCGGUUUCUUAAGUCUGAUGUGAAAGCCCACGGCUCAACCGUGGAGGGUCAUUGGAAACUGGGAAACUUGAGUGCAGAAGAGGAGAGUGGAAUUCCAUGUGUAGCGGUGAAAUGCGCAGAGAUAUGGAGGAACACCAGUGGCGAAGGCGGCUCUCUGGUCUGUAACUGACGCUGAUGUGCGAAAGCGUGGGGAUCAAACAGGAUUAGAUACCCUGGUAGUCCACGCCGUAAACGAUGAGUGCUAAGUGUUAGGGGGUUUCCGCCCCUUAGUGCUGCAGCUAACGCAUUAAGCACUCCGCCUGGGGAGUACGACCGCAAGGUUGAAACUCAAAGGAAUUGACGGGGACCCGCACAAGCGGUGGAGCAUGUGGUUUAAUUCGAAGCAACGCGAAGAACCUUACCAAAUCUUGACAUCCUUUGACCGCUCUAGAGAUAGAGUCUUCCCCUUCGGGGGACAAAGUGACAGGUGGUGCAUGGUUGUCGUCAGCUCGUGUCGUGAGAUGUUGGGUUAAGUCCCGCAACGAGCGCAACCCUUAAGCUUAGUUGCCAUCAUUAAGUUGGGCACUCUAGGUUGACUGCCGGUGACAAACCGGAGGAAGGUGGGGAUGACGUCAAAUCAUCAUGCCCCUUAUGAUUUGGGCUACACACGUGCUACAAUGGAUAAUACAAAGGGCAGCGAAUCCGCGAGGCCAAGCAAAUCCCAUAAAAUUAUUCUCAGUUCGGAUUGUAGUCUGCAACUCGACUACAUGAAGCUGGAAUCGCUAGUAAUCGUAGAUCAGCAUGCUACGGUGAAUACGUUCCCGGGUCUUGUACACACCGCCCGUCACACCACGAGAGUUUGUAACACCCGAAGCCGGUGGAGUAACCUUUUAGGAGCUAGCCGUCG